AUAAAAAGCGGUCAUACAUUCCAACACCGCCAUUAUCCCGAUGAAGUAGCGCCCAGCUCAUCUAGCAAUGUUCUGAUAUUAUAGAAUUUCGGUUUUGGAGAACAUCCUCAAUAUACCAUCUGCUUCCUCCAUGGAUCUGCUUCCUCGAUGGUGCCAAUAUAUAUAUGGUGAUGCAUUCAAAUAUGUCAUUAGUUGUCAAGUGGUAUACCAAUAUUAGCUUCUCCAUCAGCUUCGGAAAUGCGAGGAGUCAGCCGCUGGUGGCAAAUCGAUCAAAUGAUAACAGAUAAAAAGAAGGAAAACAAGGAGCUGUUAAUUGGCAGAUGAAAGGAGAGAGCUAGAUGUCCAGGUAGAAGAAGAGGACAAAGGGCGAUCUAUAUAUAGAUCCUUAUUCCACGAGAUGUAUAGAUGGAUCCUCUAUUUGGAGGGCCUUCCGUGGGAUAAAAUUACCCCUUGCUAAUUCCAGUUACAGGAAAUGACAAAACUGCCAAUAUUUUCUAUUAAGGGGGUGUACUGAAGGAUAACCCUGAACCCUAACCCCAAAAGACAAUACCACCACAAGACAAUAUCUUCUCUGACGACAUAGCUAUAUAGAUAUAGAUACCCAAUCCGACACUUUGUGCACCACACAAGCAAUACAGUCAACAGCAACCAUCCUUCCUCGAUUGGAAGUUCUUAGGCG
rnacentral:lncRNA from 1 species